rnacentral:rRNA from 1 species
AACGAACGCUGGCGGCAGGCCUAACACAUGCAAGUCGAGCGAUACCAGCAAUGGUGGAGCGGCAGACGGGUGAGUAACACGUGGGAACGUACCCUUCGGUUCGGAAUAACUCAGGGAAACUUGAGCUAAUACCGGAUACGUCCGAGAGGAGAAAGAUUUAUCGCCGAAGGAUCGGCCCGCGUCUGAUUAGCUAGUUGGUGAGGUAAUGGCUCACCAAGGCGACGAUCAGAGCUGGUCUGAGAGGAUGAUCAGCCACAUUGGGACUGAGACACGGCCCAAACUCCUACGGGAGGCAGCAGUGGGGAAUAUUGGACAAUGGGCGCAAGCCUGAUCCAGCCAUGCCGCGUGAGUGAUGAAGGCCUUAGGGUUGUAAAGCUCUUUACCUGGAAGAUAAUGACGGUACCAGAGAAUAAGCCCCGGCUAACUUCGUGCCAGCAGCCGCAGUAAC